CCGCAGAUAUCAGGAGCCACACCGAUGGCGAAGGCAGGUCUGUGGGCAUCCACUGACGAUGAGGAGCGAACGCAUGGGGAGCGAACAGGAUUAGAUCCCCUGAUAGUCCACGCCGUAAACGUUGGGCACUAGGUGUGGGGGACAUUCCACGUUUUCCGCGCCGUAGCUAACGCAUUAAGUGCCCCGCCUGGGGAGUACGGCCGCAAGGCUAAAACUCAAAGGAAUUGACGGGGGCCCGCACAAGCGGCGGAGCAUGCGGAUUAAUUCGAUGCAACGCGAAGAACCUUACCAAGGCUUGACAUGUGCCAGACCGCUCCAGAGAUGGGGUUUCCCUUCGGGGCUGGUUCACAGGUGGUGCAUGGUUGUCGUCAGCUCGUGUCGUGAGAUGUUGGGUUAAGUCCCGCAACGAGCGCAACCCUCGUUCCAUGUUGCCAGCACGUAGUGGUGGGGACUCAUGGGAGACUGCCGGGGUCAACUCGGAGGAAGGUGGGGAUGACGUCAAAUCAUCAUGCCCCUUAUGUCUUGGGCUUCACGCAUGCUACAAUGGCCGGUACAAUGGGUUGCGAUACUGUGAGGUGGAGCUAAUCCCUAAAAGCCGGUCUCAGUUCGGAUUGGGGUCUGCAACUCGACCCCAUGAAGUCGGAGUCGCUAGUAAUCGCAGAUCAGCAACGCUGCGGUGAAUACGUUCCCGGGCCUUGUACACACCGCCCGUCAAGUCACGAAAGUUGGUAACACCCGAAGCCGAUGGCCUAACCACCUUGUGUGGGCGG
rnacentral:rRNA from 1 species